rnacentral:snRNA from 1 species
GUACUUGCUUUGGCAGCACAUACCCUAAAAUUGGGAUGAUACAGAGAUUAGCAUGGCUCUUGUGCAAGAUAACACACAAAUUUGUGAAGUCUUCCAUAUUUAA